UACGUAGGUGGCAGGCGUUGUCCGGAUUUACUGGGUGUAAAGGGCGUGUAGCCGGGCUGACAAGUCAGAUGUGAAAUCCGAGGGCUCAACCCCCGAACUGCAUUUGAAACUGUUGGUCUUGAGUAUCGGAGAGGCAGGCGGAAUUCCUAGUGUAGCGGUGAAAUGCGUAGAUAUUAGGAGGAACACCAGUGGCGAAGGCGGCCUGCUGGACGACAACUGACGGUGAGGCGCGAAAGCGUGGGGAGCAAACAGG
rnacentral:rRNA from 1 species